AGGACCGGGAUGGACAUACCUCUGGUGGACCUGUCGUGGCGCCAGCCGCGCAGCAGGGUAGCUAUGUAUGGACGGGAUAAUCGCUGAAUGCAUCUAAGCGAGAAACCCACCUCAAAACCAGGUUUCCCUUGAGAGCCGUCGUAGACGACGACGUCGAUAGGCUGGGUGUGGACGCGCCGCGAGGCGUGGAGCUAACCAGUACUAAUUGCUCGAUAGGCUUGAUCUUG
rnacentral:rRNA from 1 species